rnacentral:rRNA from 1 species
GAAGUAAGGGCCGGGUAAGACGGGUGCCAGCCGCCGCGGUAAUACCCGCGGCCCGAGUGGUGGUCGAUAUUAUUGAGCCUAAAACGUCCGUAGCCGGUCUUCUAAAUCCUUGGGUAAAUCGGGCAGCUUAACUGUCCGAAUUCCGGGGAGACUGGGAGACUUGGGACCGGGAGAGGUUAGAGGUACUUCUGGGGUAGGGGUAAAAUCCUGUAAUCCUGGAAGGACCACCGGUGGCGAAGGCGUCUAACUAGAACGGAUCCGACGGUGAGGGACGAAGCCCUGGGGCGCAAACGGGAUUAGAUACCCCGGUAGUCCAGGGUGUAAACGCUGCGGGCUUGGUGUUGGGGGUCCUUUGUGGGCGCCCAGUGCCGGAGAGAAGUUGUUAAGCCUGCUGCUUGGGGAGUACGUCCGCAAGGAUGAAACUUAAAGGAAUUGGCGGGGGAGCACCGCAACGGGAGGAGCGUGCGGUUCAAUUGGAUUCAACGCCGGAAAACUCACCAGGAGCGACGGAUAUAUGAAGGCCAGGCUGAUGACCUUGCCUGAUUUUCCGAGAAGUAGUGCAUGGCC